rnacentral:rRNA from 1 species
AUUGAACGCUGGCGGCAGGCCUAACACAUGCAAGUCGAGCGGAGGAAGGGAGCUUGCUCCUGGAUUCAGCGGCGGACGGGUGAGUAAUGCCUAGGAAUCUGCCUGGUAGUGGGGGAUAACGUCCGGAAACGGGCGCUAAUACCGCAUACGUCCUGAGGGAGAAAGUGGGGGAUCUUCGGACCUCACGCUAUCAGAUGAGCCUAGGUCGGAUUAGCUAGUUGGUGGGGUAAAGGCCUACCAAGGCGACGAUCCGUAACUGGUCUGAGAGGAUGAUCAGGCACACUGGAACUGAAACACGGUCCAGACUCCUACGGGAGGCAGCAGUGGGGAAUAUUGGACAAUGGGCGAAAGCCUGAUCCAGCCAUGCCGCGUGUGUGAAGAAGGUCUUCGGAUUGUAAAGCACUUUAAGUUGGGAGGAAGGGCAGUAAGUUAAUACCUUGCUGUUUUGACGUUACCAACAGAAUAAGCACCGGCUAACUUCGUG